UGCUGCAUGGCUGUCGUCAGCUCGUGUCGUGAGAUGUUGGGUUAAGUCCCGAUAGAGCGCAACCCUUGUCCUUAGUUACCAGCACGUUAUGGUGGGCACUCUAAGGAGACUGCCGGUGACAAACCGGAGGAAGGUGGGGAUGACGUCAAGGUCAUCAUGGCCCUUACGGCCUGGGCUACACACGUGCUACAAUGGUCGGUACGAAAGGGUUGCCAAGCCGCGAGGUGGAGCUAAUCCCAUAAAACCGAAUCGUAGUCCGGAUCGCAGUCUGCAACUCGACUGCGUGAAGUCGGAAUCGCUAGUAAUCGUGAAUCAGAAUGUCACGGUGAAUACGUUCCCGGGCCUU
rnacentral:rRNA from 1 species